rnacentral:rRNA from 1 species
AACGAACGCUGGCGGCAGGCUUAACACAUGCAAGUCGAACGCCCCGCAUAGGGAGUGGCGCACGGGUGAGUAACAUGUGGGAAUAUGCCUUUUGGUACGGAACAACGUUUGGAAACGAACGCUAAUACCGUAUGGUCCCUCCGGGGUAAAGAUUUAUCGCCAAAAGAUUAGCCCGCACUAGAUUAGCUAGUUGGUAAGGUAAUGGCUUACCAAGGCGACGAUCUAUAGCUGUUCUGAGAGGAAGAUCAGCCACACUGGGACUGAGUACACGGCCCAGACUCCUACGGGAGGCAGCAGUUAGGAAUAUUGGACAAUGGGCGCAAGCCUGAUCCAGCCAUGCCGCGUGAGUGAUGAAGGCCUUCGGGUUGUAAAGCUCUUUAGCCGACGAAUAUAAUGACUGUAGUCGGAGAAUAAGCCCCGGCUAACUUCGUGCCAGCCGCCGCCGUAAUAC